GCGGGCUCUGGCCGGGCUAGGAGUGGCUGGAAGAAGCUUCGGCAGUCGGCUGGGAGACUUGACUCCACUUCCGGGGCGUGGUCCCACCCCGGCAGCUAGUAGGUCUGAGGAGCGCUAGAAUGAGGGUGUUAGGCUAAAUGGCAAGCCCUAGUCAGUUGGAGUAGGACUUGAGUUGGAAAUUACGGUCUCACUGCUUACUAGUGCGAAAAGCACAUUUCUAGAGUGCUUCGCCGUCGCCGCCAGCCUUGAGUUGGGACUACAAGUCCGGGUUCUCAGGAGUCCAGGAAUGGGGGCGGGAGAGGGCGUUGUGGGAAGAGUGGCAUGCUGGGAACUGUAGUAGCGUUGACUCCACGUUCGCUGCAGAAAUAACCACUUCCAGAUGUGUCCUUCCAAAUGUCUUCCUAUGCAUUUAUAUACAGAAUCUUUGCAGGCAUAGCAAAUGCAGAUAUGUAUGGACUUGACCACCUGGAGAGCCCCUGCCUCAAGAAAAGGAAGCAGCUGCCACUUCUCAGCUCCAGCAGAUGUUGCCACAUGGGGACACUAAGCACAGUGUUGCCACCUUCCAUAUUUGAAAUCUCAACAAUUUUUCAAUGUUGGCUCAAUUUCUUUCUUUCUUUUUUUUUUUU